CUGCAGCCCGAGUGGUGAUCGAUUUUAUUGAGCCUAAAGCGUCCGUAGCCGGACUAGUAAACCCUUGGGUAAAUUGGGCAGCUUAACUGUCCAAAUUCCGAGGGGACUGUUAGUCUUGGGACCGGGAGAGGUCAGAGGUACUCAAGGGGUAGGGGCUAAAUCCGAUAUGGUGUUGAGCCAGUCGGUUAGCAUUCCUGUAAUCCUUGGGGGACCACCAGUGGCGAAGGCGUCUGACUAGAACGGAUCCGACGGUAAGGGACGAAACCCUGGGGCGCGAACCGGAUUAGAUACCCGAGUAGUCC
rnacentral:rRNA from 1 species